CGCGCUCGGCGGUAGAGAGGAGAGAGUUUGUUUUGCAACAAUUUCAUCAGCUAAUUUUGGUCUUCUUAUGCAACUUACAUCUUUAAAUAAUGAUAUCAUGGACUAAUCAAGAAAACGCAUAUGCCGCCCAGAGAUUGCCCUAAAUCAUAUUAUGAAACUAUCAUGUUACCGACUUUACCAUGGCCACAAUGUCUGGGCUAUGGUUACCUGAAGAUAUGACUGACACAUGGAUGUUUUAAUUCUGAGGAAACAGCUGGUUUCAUUUCUACCUUUUUUAGGCUUUCUACAACAGAUGGUAUCGUCACCGAAUUAACACAAGUCAAAAGACUGAAUAUUUACAGUUGGCUCUAGCAGUGUACCUUAAUUUGUACGCAUUCUGCUCAAGAACAUUAUUUGUGAUAAUUGUGAGGUUGCUACCGAAAAUGUAACCCAACAAAUGAAGAGAGCUGGGCGUAAGUGAAACCUAAAAUGUUAUUUCGUGGAUUUUCGUGACUGUGAAAUAUAGUGAGCCGUGUAACUGUAUAAGAGAAGAAUGAUUAUGACAGGUUGAGUUUUAAUGAAAACAUUGAUACGCUU